rnacentral:tRNA from 1 species
GCGGGGUGGAGCAGUCUGGUAGCUCGUCGGGCUCAUAACCCGAAGGUCAUCGGUUCAAAGUGGUAGAGCACAACCUUGCCAAGGUUGGGGUCGCGAGUUCGAAUCUCGUUUCCCGCUCCA